rnacentral:rRNA from 1 species
UACGAAGGGGGCUAGCGUUGUUCGGAAUUACUGGGCGUAAAGCGCACGUAGGCGGAUAUUUAAGUCGGGGGUGAAAUCCCGGGGCUCAACCCCGGAACUGCCUUCGAUACUGGGUAUCUUGAGUUCGGAAGAGGUGAGUGGAAUUGCGAGUGUAGAGGUGAAAUUCGUAGAUAUUGGGAAGAACACCGGUGGCGAAGGCGGCGACCUGGUCCGAUACUGACGCUGAGGCGCGAAAGCGUGGGGAGCAAACAGG